GUGCCAGCAGCCGCGGUAAUACAUAGGGGUCAAGCGUUGUCUGGAUUUAUUGGGCGUAAAGAGCUCGUAGGCGGUUCAACAAGUCGGUCGUAAAAGUUUAGGGCUCAACCCUAAAAUGUCGAUCGAUACUGUUGUGACUAGGAUACGGUAGAGGUGAAUGGAAUUCCGAGUGUAGCGGUGAAAUGCGUAGAUAUUCGGAGGAACACCAGAGGCGAAGGCGGCUUACUGGACAUAUACUGACGCUGAGGCACGAAAGUGUGGGUAGCAAACAGGAUUAGAUA
rnacentral:rRNA from 1 species